AGUAUAGGAGGUGAAGCCUGCCCUAUGGUUGUAUCUGAAANUAAUAACAAAGGAGUUANUUUAUAAAGACAAUUUAAUGGCCGCGGUAUACUUGACUGUGAAAAUGUAGCGCAAUCAAUCGUCNAUUAAUUGUUGACAAGUAUGAAUGGCGUCACGAGUGCUUGACUGUCUUAAGAAAAAACCCAAUGAAAUUGAAUUCGUAGUUAAGAUGCUACGUAAUUUUGUAAGACGAAAAGACCCUAUUAAGCUUUACUGGGCGCUUAUCUUGUCUUAAGUAAUAGAAGGAAGAGAUGGGAAUUGAAAAAUAAAAAGAAAAGAAAAUAAGGAUCAAGAAAUUGAUAGAAAAGGCUUAUCAAAUACAUAUGUCAAUUAAAUUAAAAUCUUUUUUUUAUAGGUUUUCACCACACCAUCAAAAUANAAUGAAAGACAANNNNNCCAUCGAANGAAUGUAGUUGUAUGUUAGACAGUUUAGUUGGGGCGACUCCCUUAAAAAUGAUAACUAAGGGGCACUAAGGUAAUAAANNNNNGAGCUUGACUGUUAGAGGGCCCUCAAACAGACACGAAAGUGGGUAAAAAUCGACCCGUUAAUAAAAGUGGAGUUGUUAACGAUAAACUAAUAAAAGUUACUAUAGGGAUAACAGCGUAAUAUUGUUAGAGAGUUCACAUUAACAACAAUGUUUGCGACCUCGAUGUUGAAUUGCGGCAUCCUAUGGGUGUAGGAGCUCUUAAGGGUUAGUCUGUUCGACUAUGAAAGCCUUACAUGAUUUG
rnacentral:rRNA from 1 species